rnacentral:rRNA from 1 species
UACGUAGGGUGCAAGCGUUAUCCGGAAUUAUUGGGCGUAAAGAGCUCGUAGGCGGUUUGUCGCGUCUGCUGUGAAAACCCGAGGCUCAACCUCGGGCCUGCAGUGGGUACGGGCAGACUAGAGUGCGGUAGGGGAGAUUGGAAUUCCUGGUGUAGCGGUGGAAUGCGCAGAUAUCAGGAGGAACACCGAUGGCGAAGGCAGAUCUCUGGGCCGUAACUGACGCUGAGGCGCGAAAGCUAGGGGAGCAAACAGG